GUGGGGAAUAUUGCACAAUGGGCGAAAGCCUGAUGCAGCAACGCCGCGUGAGGGACGACGGCCUUCGGGUUGUAAACCUCUUUUAGUAGGGAAGAAGCGAAAGUGACGGUACCUGCAGAAAAAGCACCGGCUAACUACGUGCCAGCAGCCGCGGUAAUACGUAGGGUGCAAGCGUUAUCCGGAAUUAUUGGGCGUAAAGAGCUCGUAGGCGGUCUGUCGCGUCUGCUGUGAAAACUGGAGGCUCAACCUCAAGCCUGCAGUGGGUACGGGCAGACUAGAGUGCGGUAGGGGAGAGUGGAAUUCCUGGUGUAGCGGUGGAAUGCGCAGAUAUCAGGAGGAACACCGAUGGCGAAGGCAGAUCUCUGGGCCGUAACUGACGCUGAGGAGCGAAAGCGUGGGGAGCGAACAGGAUUAGAAACCCGUGUAGUCC
rnacentral:rRNA from 1 species